rnacentral:rRNA from 1 species
AUUGAACGCUGGCGGCAGGCCUAACACAUGCAAGUCGAACGAGUGGCGGACGGGUGAGUAAUGUCUGGGAAACUGCCCGAUGGAGGGGGAUAACUACUGGAAACGGUAGCUAAUACCGCAUACCAUCGGAUGUGCCCAGAUGGGAUUAGCUUGUAGGUGAGGUAACGGCUCACCUAGGCGACGAUCCCUAGCUGGUCUGAGAGGAUGACCAGCCAGACUGGAACUGAGACACGGUCCAGAAGCCUACGUGAGGCCGCAGUGGGGAAGAGUGCAUAAUGGGCGCAAGCCGGAUGCAGCCAUGCCGGGUGUAGGAAGAAGGCCGUCGGGUUGUAAAGUACUUGCAGCGGGGAGUCGUUACCCGCAGAAGAAGCACCGGCUAACUCCGUGCCAGCAGCCGCGUUAAUAC